AUAAUCCUGGACAUCUCGGUGUACAAUGCAUUUGGCAUCUGGAUGGCGUUGAACCCAAAUUGGAAGGGGGGAAGCUCUAGAGUUGACAGCACUUUCUCGAGGAACUGGGCAAGGCAUUGGCAUUGGUGAGACACCCCCCUCCAGGUGUCGCCCAUCUUUCCCAUUAUCCUCAGUGUAUUUAUGCCUGCGUUCUCUGUUUGUCUGUUGCCAUGUUCGUUUUUGUCUGUUAAGCCUACCAGUGGUUUUCCCCUUGCGCCUGUCUUUUUCUAUACUUCCUGUUUUCUAGUUUUUCCCGGUUUUGAUCAUUCUGCCUGCCCUGACCCCGAGACUGCCUGCCGUUUCUGUACCUUUUGGACUCUGAUCUGGAUUACUGACCUCUGCCUGACCUGUAAUUUUGCCUGCCUCCCUGUUCUAGUAAUAAACUUUUGUUACCUUCGACGCUGUAUGCAUCUGGGUCUUCCCUAAAACGUGAUAGUUCUACCACCACUUUGUCGACAUUACAGUGGUGAACAGCUUGUUCAUCCUGCACAAGAAACGGCACUGGAAGCGAAGAGAAAGCCUCUGAAACAACAGUUGUACGGAGAGGUCCUCUGCAUGCAGCUGGCUGUCUGUGAUGUGGAGGAGAUAGAAGAGGAGGAAGAGGAUGCUUUAUUGGCUGCCGUGGCUGAAGAGGUGGACUGCAACCCCCAUUACAAUCGUGGACACCUUACCCAGCACUGCGUACUUUAAGUCCACCAAGGACAGGCUGCGUUGUCAUCUGUGUGCAAAGGAGAACCUUGAAAACAAGACCCCCUUGGAAAUGUGAGUCUUGCAACGUGCUACUGUCUUACAGUAGACAGGAACAGUUACAGGGCAUGGCACGAGAGGAGAAGAGACAGAAGUGUGGUCCCGUGUGGCUCAGUUGGUAGAGCAUGGUGUUUGCAACGCCAGGGUUGUGGGCUCGAUUCCCUCGGGGGACCAGUAGGGAGUAAAGAAUGUAUGAAAUGUAUGCAUUCGCUACUGUAAGUUGCUCUGAAUAAGAGCAUCUGCUAAAUGACUAAAAUGUAAAUGAAACACAGACAUAAACACACAGCUCGUCUUCCUUUCCCCUACACACGUAUAACCAGUACUGUUCUCAUUAUCAGAUUUGUUGUAAGUAGUUUAUGGUUCACUUUGUUCAUUUUCAAAUAUCAGUUUAACUUUUUUUCUCCGACCUGCC
rnacentral:lncRNA from 1 species